rnacentral:rRNA from 1 species
UGGGGAAUUUUCCGCAAUGGGCGAAAGCCUGACGGAGCAAUACCGCGUGAGGGAGGAAGGCUCUUGGGUUGUAAACCUCUUUUCUCAGGGAAGAAUCCUGACGGUACCCUUCGAGGAAGCCCCGGCUAACUACGUGCCAGCAGCCGCGGUAAUACGUAGGGGGCGAGCGUUGUCCGGAAUUAUUGGGCGUAAAGAGCGUGUAGGCGGCCUGGUAAGUCUGCCGUGAAAACCUGGGGCUCAACCCUGGGCGUGCGGUGGAUACUGCUAGGCUAGAGGAUGGUAGAGGCGAGUGGAAUUCCCGGUGUAGCGGUGAAAUGCGCAGAUAUCGGGAGGAACACCAGUAGCGAAGGCGGCUCGCUGGGCCAUUCCUGACGCUGAGACGCGAAAGCGUGGGGAGCAAACAGGAUUAGAUACCCGCGUAGUCC